ACUAUAUUUUUUUUAUUGAAAACAUAAAUACAUUUACACAAUGAGCAAUUGUUGUCACAAAUACAUCCUUACAGUUAUUGGUUAGCUAGCUCGAUGAUGUUUUACUAUAUUAGCACAAACGUGAAAUGAGUCAAAACACCUCAAAACAAAACAUGGUAUCAACAACAAGACAGAACGAGCUGAAACGAGCCACCUCCGAUUCCCCACGUGGCGGCGCGUUGUCAUUGUUGCUAGGUAUCGGACCGUUCAGAAUCAUAACACCACGUGGCCUUCUGCCUCGUCGAUGCACGCGGCGCGUUGUCAUUGUUGCUAGGUAUCGGACCGUUCAGAAUCAUAACACCACGUGACCUUCUGCCUCGUCGAUGCACGCGGCGCGUUGUCCAGCCUGUAUAUAGUAUUAGUAAUAGCUGUAGCUAUAGUAAGCUGGCAGUAUAUCAGUAAACUACAAUACAUGAAGUAUUCAGUAUUAGCAGCCGAAGAGCUUAAAAUACCAAUAUGUUCUAUCUAUACGUAGAAAAUUCAUCUCGUAAAACUUUAAUAGUUUCUUUCUAAAUGACAUUCAUAUUAAACAAUAAAACAAAAGUACAGGUUAGUACGCCUUCCUACAGGCAACAUAUAAAACAGAAUAAAUAAAUGGUUAAAUAACAGUCACGUUAAUAAAUUCAUGAACAUGAUCGAAGUAUAAAGUUACAUAAUUAAAUAAACCGUAUCCUAUUCAUGUAGUUCAGGUAGCAACUAACGAAACAGAGAGAAAGAAAGAGAGAGAGAGAAAAAAGGCUCCCAUUUUGAAUUCUUAAUUCGAAUGUAAAUUCUACACCUAAACGCCAAUAUAAACGAUUGGAGAAGAGUCUUGGCAUCUAUUGCCACAUUUGGUCUUGCAUCAUUAGAGUGUGUUAGUUAGGGAUGUGAGUAGUCUGGUAUGAUGAGGUGCAUUUAGAAGGAGACACAGUGAUGUGAGUAGUCAGUAGUCUGGUAUGAUGAGGUGCAUUUAGAAGGAGACAGUGAUGUGAGUAGUCAGUAGUCUGGUAUGAUGAGGUCCAUUUAGAAGGAGACAGUGAUGUGAGUAGUCAGUAGUCUGGUAUGAUGAGGUCCAUUUAGAAGGAGACAGUGAUGUGAGUAGUCAGUAGUCUGGUAUGAUGAGGUGCAUUUAGAAGGAGACAGUGAUGUGAGUAGUCAGUAGUCUGGUAUGAUGAGGUGCAUUUAGAAGGAGACAGUGAUGUGAGUAGUCAGUAGUCUGGUAUGAUGAGGUCCAUUUAGAAGGAGACAGUGAUGUGAGUAGUCAGUAGUCUGGUAUGAUGAGGUCCAUUUAGAAGGAGACAGUGAUGUGAGUAGUCAGUAGUCUGGUAUGAUGAGGUCCAUUUAGAAGGAGACAGUGAUGUGAGUAGUCAGUAGUCUGGUAUGAUGAGGUGCAUUUAGAAGGAGACAGUGAUGUGAGUAGUCAGUAGUCUGGUAUGAUGAGGUGCAUUUAGAAGGAGACAGUGAUGUGAGUAGUCAGUAGUCUGGUAUGAUGAGGUCCAUUUAGAAGGAGACAGUGAUGUGAGUAGUCAGUAGUCUGGUAUGAUGAGGUCCAUUUAGAAGGAGACAGUGAUGUGAGUAGUCAGUAGUCUGGUAUGAUGAGGUCCAUUUAGAAGGAGACAGUGAUGUGAGUAGUCAGUAGUCUGGUAUGAUGAGGUCCAUUUAGAAGGAGACAGUGAUGUGAGUAGUCAGUAGUCUGGUAUGAUGAGGUGCAUUUAGAAGGAGACAGUGAUGUGAGUAGUCAGUAGUCUGGUAUGAUGAGGUCCAUUUAGAAGGAGACAGUGAUGUGAGUCGUCAGUAGUCUGGUAUGAUGAGGUCCAUUUAGAAGGAGACAGUGAUGUGAGUAGUCAGUAGUCUGGUAUGAUGAGGUCCAUAUUGAUGUACACAGACACAUAGAAAUGCAUCACAGGGUUCAUAGUUUUGUUACAAUGAGAACCAGUUACAUCUAGGAUGACAUAUAGAAGAUAUUCUUCUGUGAGAAUCUUCAACCUCCUUCUCGAGAUAAAAAGGGUCGUGUUCAUUUGCGCACACACCGUAGCAAAACGUUUUGCAACAGAACACAUAAAUGAAUGUUUCUUAUUGAAAAAAAAGUUCAGACAGUCCCUCCCUGUUUUUUGUCUGUUUCCUGAUGAACACAACCCUGAUGUAGUCUGCUGAUGACAUCAUCAAAGUGCGACAGACGGUUGUG